rnacentral:rRNA from 1 species
GCAAGUCGAACGGUAACAGCACUUCGGUGGCUGACGAGUGGCGCACGGGUGCGUAACGCGUAUGCAAUCUACCUUUUACAGUGGGAUAGCCCAGAGAAAUUUGGAUUAAUACCGCAUAGUAUAUAGAAUUGGCAUCGAUUUUAUAUUAAACAUUUAUGGGUAAAAGAUGAGCAUGCGUUCUAUUAGCUAGAUGGAGUGGUAACGGCACCCCAUGGCGACGAUAGAUAGGGGCCCUGAGAGGGGGAUCCCCCACACUGGUACUGAGACACGGACCAGACUCCUACGGGAGGCAGCAGUGAGGAAUAUUGGACAAUGGGCGCAAGCCUGAUCCAGCCAUGCCGCGUGCAGGAAGACUGCCCUAUGGGUUGUAAACUGCUUUUAUACGGGAAGAAACACCCCCUCGUGAGGGGGCUUGACGGUACCGUAAGAAUAAGGAUCGGCUAACUCCGUGCCAGCAGCCGCGGUAAUACGGAGGAUCCGAGCGUUAUCCGGAAUCAUUGGGUUUAAAGGGUCCGUAGGUGGAUAAUUAAGUCAGAGGUGAAAUCCUGCAGCUCAACUGUAGAAUUGCCUUUGAUACUGGUUAUCUUGAAUUAUUAUGAAGUAGUUAGAAUAUGUAGUGUAGCGGCGAAAUGCAUAGAUAUUACAUAGAAUACCAAUUGCGAAGGCAGAUUACUAAUAAUAUAUUGACACUGAUGGACGAAAGCGUGGGGAGCGAACAGGAUUAGAUACCCUGGUAGUCCACGCCGU